rnacentral:lncRNA from 1 species
GGAACCGUCAGCAGUCGGCGCCUCCCCGCCGUCAGAAGCAGCGGAUAUUCUGCUUCAAGUCUGGCUGUGUGUGGGGCCAGGGGUCUCGCUUCUGUGGGCAUGGAUCCUUGACUGCAUUUAAGUUUUAACAACUAUGUGACCCGAGCAGAUGAGGCCCCACGUCUUCACGGAGGUGGCGUUUCUCUGCAGCAAAACCAGCAGGACAUCCAACAGCCACGCCAUGUGACCCACGUGGCCGCCACGGCCCUGUGUCAGUGGCCAGAGUCACGGGUGCCGUCGCUGAGGCUCCUGGAGCGGCACAGGCAGUCACGAUAGGACCGGAGCUCCCCGCGUGGAUGACCCAGGUCGUUUUGCAGAAGGAACAAGUGGAGCAUCUCCAGGUGAGGAGCUAAUGCUGGCAUGGAGUCUGGCCCCCUCGGACCCAGGACGGCUGACGCCGGGCUAUGCAGAGCAACAGUGCCGAGCGCUGGCACGGCCUGAGCAGGCACCACCACGGAUGGGGAUGGGACGUGCCCUGGAGCAGGGCCCACAGGGGCGACGGCCUGGCUGCCCGCUGCACAGCAUCCCCUGCUCCUCUCCAGUCGCUGCUCCUCCGGCUCCUUCCAGGCCUCUGCCCUUGUCCCCCGACACUGAGGUCCCCGAGGAGUGGACGCCUGCAACCCUCCCUCACACCCAGCAGUCCCCGUUCUGCAUCCGUGGCCGUCCGACAGCCGCCUCCUGGGCCAAGGACGUCAUUAACCCAGCGUCACGCCUGAGUCCACCAUGCACACAUGCAACACGCAUGCACACCCUCGUGCACAUGUGUGUGCACAUGCACAGACAUACGCCCAAUAAGGCACACCUGUAGACACAAGCAAGUGUGUGUGUGAACACGCGGACACACACAGUCCCUCACAGUGCUUGUUGUUUGGGGUUCACGGCCUCCAGUGGGACCUCUGCGUGCCAUUUCUAUCUUGUCCACCCUGGAGGGUGUCGUCCACUGCUGUGGACGGUGGCGCCCCUGCCCCAGGACAUGCUGGCACUGAGACCUGCCCCGACUCCAGCUCCUGGCGGCACAGCUGUACUGGGGCCUCAUUUGGAGACAGGCUCUUCGCAGAGUAAUUGAAGUGGGAAUCUCCAUGUGAAAUUGUCCUGGGUUAGGGUGGGCCCGAAGUCCAGAGGCUGGUAUCCUGAAAAGAGGAGAGGAAGGGAGUGAUCGGAGCACGUGGAAGGCAGGCUGUGAGGACAGAGCAGAGAGCGGGUUGCAGUGUCCACAGCCCGGAGCUGGACAGGCAGGAACAGGCUCUCCUCGGAGCCUCGGAGAGGACUCAGCCCUGGACACCCGCCUCUCGGACCUCCGGCCUCCAGACUCAGAGAGGAUCAAUUUAUGUUCUAAGCCGCCCCAUUUAUGGGAAUUCGUUGCAGCUGCCUCAGGAGACGCAACCAAAGAUUUUAAAACAAGAUCCAAAUGUGAACAGUAGAAACAAUUAGCAUCAUGAGUAAACAAAGGGGCCCCUUACCUGUGUGUGCCAUAUUGGGGUCCCCGCCGUCACAGGGUCAGACGAGCAGCGUCUGUGGGAGACGGGGGGUCUGCUCGCUGUUGCCGGGCUUCACAAAUCCCUCCUCUGGCCAAUUGUUGCCCCAAUGUUGUCGGAGCUUCCAAAAUUUUAAAGAAAACUGGAAACUACAAAUUCCAUGUGAAAUUUCUCCAUAUUUAAAUGCUGGCAAGAAGCAGGCAUGUAUUAAAAUGCUGCGGGUUGACGCUGUGUCCAAGACCCCUGGAACAGCGUUUCCGAGCCCCCUGGGGGCUCACACCAGCUCUUCCCUGCAGAGCGGCCACCUGGAAACAGCUCCCACAGACCACGUGGCCCCCGCCGGAGCCGGCGCGCUGUAGCUGAGGAGCCGAGGGUCAGUUUCCAGGCCUCUUGGGAGCUGUGGGCAUCACGCUGGAGGCUUGACACGGGUCGUGGUGGGAGUGUCCACACCACAGGAAUUGGCAAAGGCUGCAGAUCCGCCUGUCCCUCCACCCCCACCCCACAGCCCAGAGCCCCUUGUUAACCACUGGCUCCCAGCACACCAGGAACCUGGGGCCCAGACGCCCGCCCGCCAGGGCCCCUGUGGCCCUUUCUUCCCCACGAGAGCUGCCUUUUUCCGUGCAAAGGACCGCAGGAAGGAGGACUCCUGUCAGUUUGCAACAGUCGCCUGUCGCCUUGAAUCCACGAACCCAGGACUCCUAGCUCACUGGGGCAGCCCAGCUCUCUCCUCCUCCUGGGUGUGGUGGGACCCCUCCCUGGCCAAUCGCGUCACAGUGGCCGGGCCCCACUGUGGCCAGGACGGUGCGAGAGAGGCUCUCCCGGGCUUACUAAGGGGCCGAGAUGCAAACCACAGCUCCUGCAGCAGUUCUGGGAGGGAGCCCGCCCGAGAGGAAGUCAGCGCAAGAAGGCAGAAUCGAGAGAGGAGGGAGGGAGAGGAAGAGAGACACUCGCACACACAUGGCACGUGCGCAGUACAUACACACGUGUGUGCAGCCAGUCCCCGUUGUUCAAGGAGUCCGUACUUGCAAACGCGUCUGCCCACUAGAAUCUGUUUCCAACCCCAAAAUCAAUUCUCAUGGCUUUUUGAUAGUCAUUUGCAGACACAGGCAGAGCAGCAAAAACCGAGUGGCCUGACACGCCCAUUCCCAACUGAGAAGGACCAGGCAACACGCUGCCUUCUGGGUCACUCUCCACUGCCAACAUGUCUUUCUGUCUAUUUAAUGCCAUGUUUUUCACAGAUCUGUGCGUUUCAUUGGUCAUUUCACUGUUUAACCCAAGCGCAGAGCUGAAGUGCCGUGCAGUGUUCUGAGCACAAGAAGGCUGCCACGUGCCGGCAGAGAGGAGGCGCAUGUUAGAUGGUCCUUGUUCGGGAUGAAUAACAACGCUGUUGGCUGAGAG